AUACAGGGGGUGCGAGCGUUGAUCGGAAUUACUGGGCGUAAAGAGUACGUAGGCGGUUGCUUAAGUCAGAUGUGAAAGCCCCGGGCUCAACCUGGGAGCUGCAUUUGAAACUGAGUGACUAGAGUUUAAGAGAGGGGAGUAGAAUUCCGGGUGUAGCGGUGAAAUGCGUAGAGAUCCGGAGGAAUACCAGUGGCGAAGGCGGCUCCCUGGCUUAAAACUGACGCUGAGGUACGAAAGCGUGGGUAGCAAACAGGAUUAGAAACCCCGGUAGUCC
rnacentral:rRNA from 1 species